GCCAUGCAUGUCUAAGUAUAAGCAAUUAUACAGCGAAACUGCGAAUGGCUCAUUAUAUAAGUUAUCGUUUAUUUGAUAGUACCUUACUACUUGGAUAACCGUGGUAAUUCUAGAGCUAAUACAUGCUAAAAAUCCCGACUUCGGAAGGGAUGUAUUUAUUAGAUUAAAAACCAAUGCCCUCCGGGGCUCACUGGUGAUUCAUGAUAACUCCUCGAAUCGCAUGGCCUUGCGCCGGCGAUGGUUCAUUCAAAUUUCUUCCCUAUCAACUUUCGAUGUUUGGGUAUUGGCCAAACAUGGUUGCAACGGGUAACGGAGGGUUAGGGCUCGACCCCGGAGAAGGAGCCUGAGAAACGGCUACUACAUCCAAGGAAGGCAGCAGGCGCGCAAAUUACCCAAUCCCGACUCGGGGAGGUAGUGACAAUAAAUACUGAUACAGGGCUCUUUUGGGUCUUGUAAUUGGAAUGAGUACAAUUUAAAUCCCUUAACGAGGAACAAUUGGAGGGCAAGUCUGGUGCCAGCAGCCGCGGUAAUUCCAGCUCCAAUAGCGUAUAUUAAAGUUGUUGUGGUUAAAAAGCUCGUAGUUGAACCUUGGGCCUGGCUGGCCGGUCCGCCUCACCGCGUGUACUGGUCCGGCCGGGCCUUUCCCUCUGUGGAACCCCAUGCCCUUCACUGGGUGUGGCGGGGAAACAGGACUUUUACUGUGAAAAAAUUAGAGUGCUCCAGGCAGGCCUAUGCUCGAAUACAUUAGCAUGGAAUAAUAGAAUAGGACGUGUGGUUCUAUUUUGUUGGUUUCUAGGACCGCCGUAAUGAUUAAUAGGG
rnacentral:rRNA from 1 species